rnacentral:misc_RNA from 1 species
ACUUUCACGUCACGGAUUGAGUGACGUCACAGCGGUUCCAACGAGAUGCCAAUCCGCCAAAUCACCGACAGUCGUUUUCCACCUUCCCGCAGUCACGCACGCUGCUGCUCCAUUUUGGAUACUUUGCUGGACGUGCUGCACUGGUGGUGUGACGUUGAGGGAAGUGCCUCUUUGUAUCCCUGCCCAGCACUUUAUUGAAGACCUGAAGAUGCUCCAGAUUUUCAAGAAGGGAGUGGCACACACACUUUGCUGCACUCCAAGCUUUUGGAGGUCCAGCGGCACAUUGCACACUGCUUUCAUAAACGUGUGCAGAGUUCAAGACAGGGUGGCAAGAAUGGAGGAUGCUUCAACAUUCACAACAUCAUUGGUUCAUGCUUUCUUUUUCCUGUGGAAAGUAGUGCACACAGUUUUAAUCAAGAAUUAUAUGUUAUAAUUUAUAUUUAUAGAUUUCAUGAAAAUAUUGUGUUGACCUUUGUGCAUCAAACCAUUUCAUUACAUGUAAGUGUAUAUUUAGCUGCAAGGAAUAACAGUUUAUGAGAUUUGUAAUGUAUAAAAAGUGACUUAUAAGAGAUCUUGCAUUAUGAAGAUUUGUUUAAAGGACUUUAUUUAUAAACAUGAUCUAGUUGUGUCAGUCUUAACAGACCAGAUUGUACAGAGAUGAACCAUUGUCCUUUGCAUUUCCUGCAGAUGGAAUGUCAGUCAACACUGCAGGGUGUGUGCGUGUAUUUACCUAGUUGUAUUGUAUAGGGUUCGAGCAGGGCUCAUAGUGUCCUGUCUCCAUGUCUCCAUUUAUCCAAUUUUUCCUUAAAGUUAUGCACAUUAUGUGCUGUAACAACUUCAUUAUUCAAUUUUCCAAUGUUCUAUGUGGAAAAUUGUAUUUUCCUGUAUCCUUCAGACACUGUGUGUGUGUGUGUGUGUGUGUGUGUGUGUGUGUGUGUGUGUGUGUGUGUGUGUGUGUGUAUUUACCUAAUUGUAUUUACCUAAUUGUAACAUACGGGAAAAGAGCUAUG